GAAUAUUGCACAAUGGAGGAAACUCUGAUGCAGCGACGCCGCGUGAGUGAAGAAGGUUUUCGGAUCGUAAAACUCUGUCCUUGGUGAAGAUAGUGACGGUAGCCAAGGAGGCAGCCCCGGCUAACUACGUGCCAGCAGCCGCGGUAAUACGUAGGGGGCGAGCGUUGUCCGGAUUUACUGGGCGUAAAGGGUGAGUAGGCGGUUAUGUAAGUCAGAUGUAAAAGGCAUAGGCUCAACUUAUGUAAGCAUUUGAAACUGCAUGACUUGAGUGCAGGAGAGGUAAGCGGAAUUCCUAGUGUAGCGGUGAAAUGCGUAGAUAUUAGGAGGAACACCAGUGGCGGAGGCAGCUUACUGGACUGUAACUGACGCUGAGUCACGAAAGCGUGGGUAGCAAACAG
rnacentral:rRNA from 1 species